CCCUGGCUCAGGAUGAACGCUGGCGGCGUGCUUAACACAUGCAAGUCGAACGAUGACCCGGUGCUUGCACCGGUGAUUAGUGGCGAACGGGUGAGUAACACGUGAGUAACCUGCCCUUAACUCUGGGAUAAGCCUGGGAAACUGGGUCUAAUACCGGAUAUGACUCCUCAUCGCAUGGUGGGGGGUGGAAAGCUUUAUUGUGGUUUUGGAUGGACUCGCGGCCUAUCAGCUUGUUGGUGAGGUAAUGGCUCACCAAGGCGACGACGGGUAGCCGGCCUGAGAGGGUGACCGGCCACACUGGGACUGAGACACGGCCCAGACUCCUACGGGAGGCAGCAGUGGGGAAUAUUGCACAAUGGGCGCAAGCCUGAUGCAGCGACGCCGCGUGAGGGAUGACGGCCUUCGGGUUGUAAACCUCUUUCAGUAGGGAAGAAGCGAAAGUGACGGUACCUGCAGAAGAAGCGCCGGCUAA
rnacentral:rRNA from 1 species